rnacentral:rRNA from 1 species
CGAUUCUNCGGGNGGCAGCAGUGGGGAAUUUUGGACAAUGGGCGCAAGCCUGAUCCAGCAAUGCCGCGUGCAGGAUGAAGGCUUUCGGGUUGUAAACUGCUUUUGUACGGAACGAAAGGGCUCUGGUUAAUACCUGGGCAUAUGACGGUACCGUAAGAAUAAGCACCGGCUAACUAC